rnacentral:rRNA from 1 species
UAGAGUUUGGGGCGGGCUCACGUGGGUAACCUGCCUGUAAGACUGGGAUAACUCCGGGAAACCGGAGCUAAUACCGGAUAGUUCCUUGAACCGCAUGGUUCAAGGAUGAAAGACGGUUUCGGCUGUCACUUACAGAUGGACCCGCGGCGCAUUAGCUAGUUGGUGGGGUAAUGGCUCACCAAGGCGACGAUGCGUAGCCGACCUGAGAGGGUGAUCGGCCACACUGGGACUGAGACACGGCCCAGACUCCUACGGGAGGCAGCAGUAGGGAAUCUUCCGCAAUGGACGAAAGUCUGACGGAGCAACGCCGCGUGAGUGAUGAAGGUUUUCGGAUCGUAAAGCUCUGUUGUUAGGGAAGAACAAGUGCGAGAGUAACUGCUCGCACCUUGACGGUACCUAACCAGAAAGCCACGGCUAACUACGUGCCAGCAGCCGCGGUAAUACGUAGGUGGCAAGCGUUGUCCGGAAUUAUUGGGCGUAAAGGGCUCGCAGGCGGUUUCUUAAGUCUGAUGUGAAAGCCCCCGGCUCAACCGGGGAGGGUCAUUGGGAAACUGGGAAACUUGAGUGCAGAAGAGGAGAGUGGAAUUCCACGUGUAGCGGUGAAAUGCGUAGAGAUGUGGAGGAACACCAGUGGCGAAGGCGACUCUCUGGUCUGUAACUGACGCUGAGGAGCGAAAGCGUGGGGAGCGAACAGGAUUAGAUACCCUGGUAGUCCACGCCGUAAACGAUGAGUGCUAAGUGUUAGGGGGUUUCCGCCCCUUAGUGCUGCAGCUAACGCAUUAAGCACUCCGCCUGGGGAGUACGGUCGCAAGACUGAAACUCAAAGGAAUUGACGGGGGCCCGCACAAGCGGUGGAGCAUGUGGUUUAAUUCGAAGCAACGCGAAGAACCUUACCAGGUCUUGACAUCCUCUGACAACCCUAGAGAUAGGGCUUUCCCUUCGGGGACAGAGUGACAGGUGGUGCAUGGUUGUCGUCAGCUCGUGUCGUGAGAUGUUGGGUUAAGUCCCGCAACGAGCGCAACCCUUGAUCUUAGUUGCCAGCAUUCAGUUGGGCACUCUAAGGUGACUGCCGGUGACAAACCGGAGGAAGGUGGGGAUGACGUCAAAUCAUCAUGCCCCUUAUGACCUGGGCUACACACGUGCUACAAUGGACAGAACAAAGGGCUGCAAGACCGCAAGGUUUAGCCAAUCCCAUAAAUCUGUUCUCAGUUCGGAUCGCAGUCUGCAACUCGACUGCGUGAAGCUGGAAUCGCUAGUAAUCGCGGAUCAGCAUACCGCGGUGAAUACUAGAGCGGGAUCCUGGCUCAGUAAGUCGUACCAAGGUAACCAG